CCCUUAGAUGUUCUGGGCCGCACGCGCGCUACACUGACAGAGCCAGCGAGUUUAUAACCUUGGCCGGAAGGUCUGGGUAAUCUUGUGAAACUCUGUCGUGCUGGGGAUAGAGCAUUGCAAUUAUUGCUCUUCAACGAGGAAUUCCUAGUAAGCGUGAGUCAUCAGCUCGCGUUGAUUACGUCCCUGCCCUUUGUACACACCGCCCGUCGCACCUACCGAUUGAAUGGUCCGGUGAAAUCUCGGGACGGCGGCUUGGUCGCUUGCGUCCGACUGCUGAAACUUGAUUAAACCAUAUCAUUUAGAGGAAGGUGAAGUCGUAACA
rnacentral:rRNA from 1 species